rfam:Parcubacteria bacterium GW2011_GWA2_49_16 TY42_C0018, whole genome shotgun sequence.
GUUCAGUCGGGCGGGGAGCAACGCACUUGUAACGCGUAGGUCCCCGGUUCAAAUCCGGG